GUCUGGCAGUAGAAACCAAUUGGUGAUGCAGAUGGCGUGUGUUGAGGAGGGCACAGAGUUUUGUUCCAGUAGCCGUCGAUGCGGUGACCUAGAGGAUGCUGAACUUCUGUUGUGCCACGGGGGGUCCUUAGAACAUGGACUGGGAAGAUGGGGUCCUUGUCAGCAUGUCUACAUCAUUGAGGAGCCGUGUGUUUCAGGAAGCGUCUGCCACUGCUGAGGUCCAUUGUGGACCGGGCUGCACUGCUUUUGGAUGUGGCAUGAGUCAAACUGUCAUAAAUCUCAUAAAUCGGAUGACUAAGUCGUUUCUGCCCACCGACAGGCCUGCUAAAAGGGCGUGUGAUGCAGCUAUAGUCGCUACGAAGACCUUGAGCGUGGAGGGAGAUCAUCCCUUCUCCAAGAGCUCUUGCAAAAAUGACAGUAUCACUUAUACAUCACAGGAGGGUUUUCGCCAUGGUCUGAGCACCCGUGGAGAAAACAGACCAUUUGGAGGCAUAGAGGCAUCGUGUAGACUGAGCUCUAGCCUGUGAAAUUAGAGUAGAACGGGGGCGGUUCGCUGACGAGGGGCUUGCUGGCGCCCCGGCAGAAACCAUUCAUCCAGGCGGCUACGGGAUGGUUCCUCUGGAGGAGACCAUUCCAGACCCAGCUCAUCCACUGCCCUGGAGAGAACGCGGAUAAGUUCGGCGUCCAUCCCGGGUUUCGUGAGGCUAGGUUCAGCCUCAUCAAGAAAGGUGAGGACUCGUUCGAGCUGCAGGCCGUGGAGAAGCAGAUUCGGGACCUGGAGGUGAGGCAGGCCCAGCUGAGAGAGUGGAGAGCCGCGCUGAAAACCUCCCGGGCUGACGCUCACAAGUCCGGGGUAAGUAUACAGUGCGCUACUAACAAUCCCACCACCUCUGCUCCGUGUGUUACUCUGCACAGGCCCGGUGCACCCAGGAUGCGAUCUUCCCAGAUGUCCUUCACUCCGGCGCUGGGACACCAUGGACCCUGGGUGCAUCCACAUUGGAGGACGCGAGCCAGGCCCCGGGCAACAACUUCACCCCCUCCAGUCUAAGAGAUCUCCACCCGGAACCACUUCGCUCCCCUCCGCAAGACGAUACCUGCGAUCCUGAAGGCUGACGAGAGCCCCAGAGCUUUCGUGCUUCACGCCGGGGUCAAUGACACCACGCUGUGGAAGACGGAGACGCUGAAGAGGGACUUCAGGAGCCUGACCGAGAUGGUUCACAGCACGACACCCGCGACAACGAUCAUCGUGUCAGGACCACUGCCCACGUAUUGACGAGGACACGAAAGGUUCAGUAGACUUGAGUGAAUGAAUGGUUAUUGUCAAUAAAUAUUAGAUCACUCACACCCAAAGCAGUUAUUGUAAAUGAAAUGAUCACAGAUAAUAGUUUUGAUGUACUCUACUUGACCUAAACCUGGCUAAAACCAUACGAUUACAUUGGUCUAAACGAGUCAACUCCACCAAACUACUGUUAUAAGCAUGAGACCCGUCAGACUGGUCGUGGCGGAGGUGUUGCAACAAUAUAUGGCAAUAUUCUCAAUUUUACCCAAAAAAAACAGGAUACAGAUUUAACUCAUUUGAAAUACUUCUGCUUAAUGUUACUCUGUCAGACAUGCAAAAGAAAUCUAAUGUAUCUCUUGCUCUGGCUACUGUGUAUAGACCACCAGGGCCGUAUACAGAAUUCCUACAAGAAUUCGCAGAUUUCUUCUUAGACCUGGUUAAAGUUGAUAAAGCGCUAAUCAUGGGAGAUUUUAAUAUUCACGUUGAUAAUACAAAUGAUAAAUUAAGGCCUGACCUAAUAAACUCUUUUGGAGUUAUGCAAAAUGUCACCGUUACCGUCUGGGCAGAACUAUUGUUCCAGCAACCCAAAGAUAAACUGCAGUGCUUUACAACUAUAGGACAGGAAGAGCUAAAUACACUUAUCACUGCAUCUAAACCAACAACAUGUUUCUUAGAUCCUGUAACCACUAAAUUACUAAGAGUUGUUACCUGUAGCCAAAGAAACGCUUCUCAAUAUUAUUAACUCGUCGUUAUCUUCAGGUCACGUCCCAAAACCAUUUAAGCUGGCUGUUAUUAAGCCUCUUAUAAAGAAACCUCCUAGUAAACUAGCAAAUUAUAGGCCUAUUUCAAAUCUUUCAUUUGUCAAAAACUGUAAAAAAAAAAGUUGUCAGCUCAAUAGAGCUCCUUCCUGCAAAAAACUGUAUGACGAAUUUCAGUC